AAUGGCCAGGAUCCGCGCAUGACUCAAGAAUUUUCAGAGAGUCACGUUUAUGCACAUUAUUUGAACGUGGUGAUUACGACAGGAUCCUGGUCGGAGACAGGGGCUAUGCCUGUAGGCAGUAUCUUAUGACCCCAUUCCCUGACCCCAACCCUGGACCACAAACCCGUUACAAUGCAGCUCUAGCCAGGACAAGGGCACGUAUUGAAAUGACCUUUGGGCAACUAAAGGGAAGAUUUCAGUGUCUGAGGGUUGCACCUGACAGGGCAUGCAACAUUGUCGCAUGUGCUGUAUUACACAACAUUGCCACCAUUAGAAAGGAGAGGACCCCUGUGGUGGAGGUGCAGCCUGAUGAUGACCUCCAGCCAGUGCACUUGGACCAACCUAGUGGCAGAGCUGCACGGGACAGCAUUGUGGAACACAAUUUU